UACGUAGGGGACAAGCGUUGUCCGGAAUUACUGGGCGUAAAGGGCUCGUAGGCGGCCAACUAAGUCAGACGUGAAAUCCCCAGGCUCAACCUGGGAACUGCGUCUGAUACUGGAUGGCUUGAAUCCGGGAGAGGGAUGCAGAAUUCCAGGUGUAGCGGUGAAAUGCGUAGAUAUCUGGAGGAAUACCGGUGGCGAAGGCGGCAUCCUGGACCGGCAUUGACGCUGAGGAGCGAAAGCCAGGGGAGCAAACGGG
rnacentral:rRNA from 1 species